rnacentral:tRNA from 1 species
GAGGGUAUAGCUCAGUGGUAGAGCAUGUGCUUAGCAUGCACAAGGUCCUGGGUUCACUCUCAGUAUCUCCA